rnacentral:lncRNA from 1 species
GUUGAGAAAAGAAAAAAAAAGAGGUUGAAAAUAAGUGAGAAUGAGUGCAUAAGUGUUGGUUGUUGAAGAAGGGUCCAAAAAUGUGAAUCUGACCCUAAAUGUUGUACGAUUCUUCCCUUUGUGUUUAAAGUUGGGUACUGCAAUCAAAAGUUGAAUUCUAAGUGUUGAUUUCAUUACUUUGCUUACUAUCACUUUAAGAACCUUUGUUUAUCCUUGAUCUUUCUUUGUUAGCCAAUACCUUAGUCCCAUUACAACCCUAGACUUUUAUCUUGUUUGUUAUGUGUUUCAAUAUGUGGAGUUUGAAAUUAGUACGAGCAUAUGGAAUCCCUGGUUCUCGCUUCUAAGUAGUCGCAUUCCAUUCAUGAGAUCAUAUACAUGUUGUAUUAAUAAUUUCAGAAAGUGUCUUCUUUGUUAUAACAUAUGUGAGUGCUAGUCUACAUGUUUACAUCAAUCUUCUCACAUAUACUUAGUAUAGGGAGUAUAGUCAGAAGUGAAAAUAGAGAGUAUAUCCAGUGAGGAAUUGAGUGAAAUCUCUAAGGCAUGUUACUACUUUCAAAUGUUGUUUUAAUUGAUUAAAUGUGAGCUAGUGAGUGGUUACUAUGGUUAAGUAUAAGCUCAAGAGUAAGGAUGGCUAAAAUCUAUGUGAGUAGUGAUUUUUAAUAUGUCCUGUUUCAAUCCCUGAGGUAAUUGUUGGAAGGUUUAGGUUUUGUUUUGUUUUCUGUGUUUUGCUCAGGGACUAGCAAAAGCUAAGUGUGGGGAAUUUGAUAAGAGCAUAUUUAUGCGAUUUUGUUAUCUUAUUUCUUUGCAUUUUCUUAGUUAAUUUCCAUUUAUUAUCGUAAUUUAAGUUAUUUUCGUAUUAUUGUAGGUCAAAUUAGUAAAGAUGACCAGGGUCGGUCUAGAGAUUUUUGAGGCCCGGGGCGACGCUAAAAAAUAUGCCUUAACUUCACAUAAGAAAAUUAUUUAUUUUCACAUAAAAGACAUUGAUAAAAUUAUACUUCGAAAAACAUUUCAAACUCAAUUAAUUUUUAACAUAGAAAGACUAAUUUAUUUUGUAUCAAGAGAAGGAAACCAAAAAACUCCUGGCUUACAAGUAGAUAAAUGAGUUUUGUUUUCCAUCUGAACUUUUAAAAUGUUUUUGUAUAAAUCGUGAGAUGUUUUUUCUUAUUUACUAACCUUGUCAAUAUGGGACUAAAAACAUAAUAAUGUUUUCGAGUCUCUAAUUGAUAUGUAUAAGUAAUGAAUGGGCACUAAAUUAAACCUUAUGAUGACACGUCAUAUGAUUUGUAAAUUUGUUCUAAAAAUUUGGUCUACUCAUUACUGUUUGUUGAAUAUUAGACUUGAAUUGUAACGAAUAUUUAAAAAUAGCAACCCAUAUAGCUACUAGCUAGUAACUAAAAAUAAAUUAACAGCCAAAUAAAAAUUUGUUAAAAUUGAAAAAAUAAACACGCACAUAGCAUUUCUAACUUAGGACCUCUUGUUAAUUUUAAACAACAAAAUCAUUGCUUUUAAUUAAACUUCCUGAGAAUUUAACCAAAAUUUAUAAAUUUAUACUCUUAUGAAAAUAAAAAUUGUAAAAAUUGGAAAGUAAAUAAGCACAUGUGGUGUCUUGAACCCAAGACUUUCUCAUUAAUUUCAAAUUACAAAACCAUCACUUCCAAUUCAAUUCCUUUGUCAUUAAACCAACUUUUUAAAUUUAUACUCUUAUAAAAACAUAUAUAAAUAUACCACCGAAUAAUUUUGGUGCCCCCAAUUUUUUUGGGCCCUAGACGGUCGCCCUACCUGCACUGGGCCUGGGCCGGCCCUGAAGAUGACAAUAAAUGGCUAAAUGGAACAAUUUGGAGCAGCUUUGGACUUGGAUUGGAUAACAUGCGUGUGGAGCAGUGGGGUGAUAGGAGCAUAUUUAUGCGACUUAGUUAGCUUGUUCUUGUGCAUUUGUGUUGUUAUUUCUUAGUUAAUUAUG